ACGGGGAGCACACAACAGGUGGAGCCUGCGGUUUAAUCGGACUCAACGCCGGGAAACUCACCAGAUAAGACAGCUGAAUGAUAGUCGGGCUGAAGACUCUACUUGACUAGCUGAGAGGAGGUGCAUGGCCGUCGUCAGUUCGUACUGUGAAGCAUCCUGUUAAGUCAGGCAACGAGCGAGACCCACGCCAACAGUUGCCAGCUCGUCCUCCGGGAUGGUGGGGACACUGUUGGGACCGCCUCUGCUAAAGAGGAGGAAGGAAUGGGCAACGGUAGGUCAGCAUGCCCCGAAUUAUCUGGGCUACACGCGGGCUACAAUGGGUGGGACAAUGGGUAUCGACACCGAAAGGUGAAGGCAAUCUCCUAAACCCAUCCGUAGUUCGGAUUGUGGGCUGCAACUCGCCCACACGAAGCUGGAAUCUGUAGUAAUCGUGUCUCAAAAUGGCACGGUGAAUAUGUCCCUGCUCCUU
rnacentral:rRNA from 1 species